AACGCGAAAAGCGAGGAGAGAGAUGUUUCUUUUUUACAGAGAGGUGUUCCUCGGGAGAGGAAUGGUAAAUAUUUUUGAGGUUGCGGCGUGCAUUACGCUGACACGGGGGAAAAAAGUUUCGGGUAAACCGAGUGUCCGAUUGUCAAUGGAUGCAGCCGUUUGAAAUUGGCGCGUACAAAGCCAUCGUGAAAGCUGUGGAUGAACGGUAGACGGCGUCAUUAUUGAUGAGCGAAGAAAAGCAGAAGCGAAUCUCAAUGUUCGCGGAGAGAGAAUCUCGAGCCUUUCGAAGACCCGGUAGCCAGCGCGCAAAAAUAUACGAUACUGGCUUUUGCCCUUUCCUAAAUGUGUGGUACGCACAUUUUUUUCUCCCCACCAGACUGGAAAUGAGGAACGCCGAGAAGCAAGGCGUUUUGUCACCUUUGAACGAACGAAAAACAUAACAGCUUCGUAGAGAAUUGACAAAGCACAUUUUCGAGA